rnacentral:rRNA from 1 species
GGAAUAUUGGACAAUGGGCGAAAGCCUGAUCCAGCCAUGCCGCGUGUGUGAAGAAGGUCUUCGGAUUGUAAAGCACUUUAAGUUGGGAGGAAGGGCAGUUACCUAAUACGUGACUGUCUUGACGUUACCGACAGAAUAAGCACCGGCUAACUCUGUGCCAGCAGCCGCGGUAAUACAGAGGGUGCAAGCGUUAAUCGGAAUUACUGGGCGUAAAGCGCGCGUAGGUGGUUUGUUAAGUUGAAUGUGAAAUCCCCGGGCUCAACCUGGGAACUGCAUCCAAAACUGGCAAGCUAGAGUAUGGUAGAGGGUAGUGGAAUUUCCUGUGUAGCGGUGAAAUGCGUAGAUAUAGGAAGGAACACCAGUGGCGAAGGCGACUACCUGGACUGAUACUGACACUGAGGUGCGAAAGCGUGGGGAGCAAACAGGAUUAGAUACCCGGG